UACAGAGGUCCCGAGCGUUGUUCGGAUUCAUUGGGCGUAAAGGGUGCGUAGGCGGCGGGGCAAGUCUGAUGUGAAAUCCCGGGGCUCAACCCCGGAACUGCAUUGGAUACUGCCUUGCUUGAGUACGGGAGAGGAGACUGGAAUUUACGGUGUAGCAGUGAAAUGCGUAGAGAUCGUAAGGAAGGCCAGUGGCGAAGGCGAGUCUCUGGACAGUAACUGACGCUGAGGCACGAAGGCCAGGGGAGCAAACGGG
rnacentral:rRNA from 1 species